UAGUGAUAGUAGCGUCUGCUGAGACGUGCAAAUGGUUUGCCGUCUUGGGAUUUUAAAUUUUUCUAACAAAACACCUACUUAGUGGCAACAUCACUUUCGUUUAAGCCAUGUGCAAAAUUUAAUUCUUAAACAUGCAAUUUUGAUCAUAUAAGGGAUGUUUUGUUCUAUGUAACAUUCUGCAAAUAUUUCUUAAAGAAAUGAUUGUUUCAACAUUUGUUUUGUAUCAAAACAAAAUAUUUUCUUAGGUGUAAGCUUUAAGAAGAAAGUAUAUGGGGUUCAUUAACAUAAUUUGGCUGUAGUUUAUAAAGGAUAUGUUGAUAUAGUGAUAUGUGUUUUACAAUAAUAAGAAAGAAAAUAUGUCUUUGAAGAAGGACUAGGAUUUGAAAGGACUUUUAAAGGUUAUACAAAGAUCUAUUGAAAGACGGAUAUUGUAACUAAUAGUUUAAUUGAGAAAAUACAAAAGUUGCCCUGCCGGAAAAGUUACAAAACCGAGAAACUUGGUGAAAAGUGUAUUACUGAUUAUGGUUACAAAUUACCAGUUUUCAUUAAUUAUGUCACAUGAUUCAUCAAAUUCGUUAAAACAUUAAUAAUUAGAAUUAAUCGAACGGGAGAAAGUACCCUUCCUUGUGUUAGCCCAGUGUUAUAGUCAUAAAUUGACAAAAAGAUUGGAUAAUAAAUUGGAUAAAAGUUCAUCUGUAAUUUAAAUGUAUGAAUAUAGAAAAUAAUAUCGAUAACUGAAAGAAAGGCUGAUAACUUGAAAUUAUUUGGAUGGAAUAUUUUUUUUAAUGUUUUCUCCCAUAUCAGUGUAAUGAAGAUCAGAGAAUGAGAUAUUCGUCUAUGUUUUCUUAAUAGCAUUGGAAUUACUAAACUGGAUUGUUUAUUUGGACAUUCCAAGGACAUCUUGUUUUAAAUAAAUAAUGUUUGAUUAUUUAACAUACCAAACAUAGUUAUAUCCACCACUCGUCAUCAGAAACACCAAUGCGAUGGCCUCACUGCAGUGUCCCAUGUUAACCUCGUCCAAUGUUCAGCCCACCAUAUUAACUGCCGAUACAAUCAAAGAACUUCGGCUAUCAACCUACAAAAGGCUUCCUGGAACAGUCGUCAAAUUAAGUUGUUAUGGUAAUUAUACUCUAAUAGGAACUGAUCAGAUAGUUUGUUCCCAGGAUGGAGAGUGGAAUUACUAUACCAAACCCUACUGUAAUUUAAUACACACCGGUCAACUAUCAGAUUUACAUAAAUUAUUAUUAGGAGUUGGAGUAGGUACUGCCAUCUUGUGUGUAAUAGUUUUAAUGGCCAUUAUUGGUGCUUUACUCUACAGAUCAAAGAAACGAAAACAGCGCGCUAGAAGUUUUAGGCAUCCAUCUACCGUCACACUGGCAUAUUCAGAUUUCGACGGCUAUCGUCCAUUUGGUAUUAUAUCGCCAUUUGCGUAUGAAGAUCGAGAGUUUUUCCCUGAUGGCAAACCAAUGGAAAAAAUUAAAACUGCACAUGCACCACUCGCCAUUCGAAAUGGUACAUCUCAGAGAACAACUCAAGGUCCCCGCCCUCUUAGUCCAAAAGUUACAAUAAGCGAAAGCCUUCCAGAAUUUAGAAGUAGGUCCCGCUCCGUCGAUGGAGUCAUCAUGGCAGUUCCUAUCACCACUGAUGCAAGGGAGUUAGAAAGAUUGUAUUCCACUACAUUACCCAAUAAAGCCAAAAAACAAAAUUCAAGUUAUUCAGGUGAAUGGAAAGACAGAGAUGAUUAUAAACGAAUGGAUUAUUUUAACGGGCAUGCUCUUGCUCAAGGCCAUGACCCCUUUCUUUGGAGACCUGGAUCUACGAGAUGGAUAUAUGAACACAACGAACGGGUAUAAAAAUGGAUGAGCAAAUCUGUAUAUGAAACGACUGAACAUUUUCUUUCGUAUAUAUUGAAGUAAAUAAUUUGUACAAUAUUUUGUAACUAUACUGAAUAGUUUAUGCAUAGUAUCAUAAUAAAGUUCGUAAACGGUGAUAGAAAAUUGUAUGCGGGGGUGGUUGUGAUGGGACGACAGGUCGUUCAAUCUAAAAACAAGAAUUAUUGUACCUCAUAUAGCACUAGCAGUCAUGUUGUUUUAAGGCUUGUGUUGAUAAAUAAAAUGGGGACACAAUGUGUAAUUGGUAUGUCAGUGGUGUAAUACAGAGUUCGAUAUUUAGCCACUUUGUUUUUAUAGAGUUUUAAUAAAAUUAGAACAAUCGAUUGAAA